AGCGAACGCUGGCGGCAGGCCUAAAACAUGCAAGUCGAACGCACCUUCGGGUGAGUGGCGGACGGGUGAGUAACACGUGGGAACGUGCCCUUUGGUUCGGAACAACUCAGGGAAACUUGAGCUAAUACCGGAUGUGCCCUUCGGGGGAAAGAUUUAUCGCCAUUGGAGCGGCCCGCGUCUGAUUAGCUAGUUGGUGAGGUAACGGCCCACCAAGGCGACGAUCAGUAGCUGGUCUGAGAGGAUGAUCAGCCACACUGGGACUGAGACACGGCCCAGACUCCUACGGGAGGCAGCAGUUAGGAAUCUUGCGCAAUGGGGGAAACCCUGACGCAGCCAUGCCGCGUGAAUGAUGAAGGUCUUAGGAUUGUAAAAUUCUUUCAGCGGGGACGAUAAUGACGGUACCCGCAGAAGAAGCCCCGGCUAACUUCGUGCCAGCCGCCGCAGUAAUAC
rnacentral:rRNA from 1 species